CCGGGCUGCCUCCUGUCCUCCACACUACUCUGCCUUGUCUCCUCUCAGCCUUAUAAAAGGGAGGUGUCUGUGCCCAUAGGUCACCCGCAGUGAGCCUCAGGGGUCUGUGGUGUGUGGGAGUCAGCUUGAACAUGGAGGAUGUCCUGUGGUGGGGGUGCAGAUAGGGAGGUGCCCAGGACCUGAGUUGUUACACUCGCUGUGUUAGAGCUAGGUUGUUAGGCUUGCUGUGUUAGAGCUAGCCUCAGCUCCUUCCGGGGAGGUUCCUGCUGGAGGUGGCUCCUCCCCAGGCUCUGCGCUGCUGGGGACCGAUGUGUAGACUUGCAAGUCCUCCUUUGCGUUGAGAGCGAGGCCCUCAGCUCUGUUUCCUGUGUGAAUUUCUUACUGGAAGAGAGGAUCUUGGGCGUGUUUCUUAGAGACUUGUAAAAUAGUGAUACUUUUUAUAAGAUUUAUUUUAUUUUCAUUUAUGUGUGGAUAUAUAUAUGAGAGUGUAUGUGUCCUUAGAGGCCAGAGGCAUGGGACCCCCUGGAGUUGGAGUUAGUUACAGUAGUUACAAGCUGCCUGAUAUCGGUGCUGGGAACCUAACUGCAGGCCUCUGCAGGAAUGUACCUUAACCAGGCACAGAGCAGCCUCCAGCCCCCUCUUAGACUCAGUGGAGCUCUGUCCCCUCUCCACCCAGCCCCCAAAAACCUUCCCUGACUACUUCCACAUCAAAUAGGCCCUUGACUGAAAAAAAA